GCAAAGCUGAUUCAGUUGUAAUGCCUACAGCUAAAGAUGCACACUUCUUCAUCUCCCCUGAGAAUUUUGUCAGUCACCCACCCCAGGCGUUGUCCCAAAUACUCACGCAGGCCUGUGGACUCCAUUCGCGAUGCUGUGUUCACCGUGUCUCCAAAGAGGCAGUACCGUGGCAUGGUCAGACCUACGACGCCCGCCACACAAGGCCCUGAAAGACAUAAUCCAACUGAUAAUACUGUAUAAAUCAUGGGGUUCACUCCCAGACAAAUCUCAUCCUCCCUUCUGAUAUCCAAAAAUUUCCACUUGGGAAUACAGGAGAAGGAUUUUUAAAGAUGUCAUUGGCCUUCAUGCUUGUUACAAGUAGUCAAAAUACAGUCAUUUCUCCGAAUUGGACAGUAGUGUUUUAUGCCUAAUAGAGUUCUUCUUGUCUCAGUUCAUUGUCAUCUGGGACAAAUUAAUUCAGAGUUCAUGGAGGCUCAAGGACUGUUGAAAUCUCAUUUUAAAAUUCAUCUCUGACCUCCUUUUCCAUCUGACAAAGCUGAAGCUGAGAUCCUGUGACAUGCCCUGUGUCCCAGUGAAUCAGGACUGAGAGUCAGCAUUAGGAAUCAAGAGAUGCUGGCAGCAUGCUGGACCACCCUGUGUCCCCUCCUUGGAAAGGAAGACAUCAUUAGCUUGCCUGUCUAGCCAAAAGCUAUUUAUUUUUCCUCUCUCUCAUCCUUUAGACGAGAUCACUCCCUUCCAAGUAGCUCCCAAAGAACUGGUGCCAAGUUUUCAGCGAUAGGUAUACAUGUAGGAUUCACUUGAAGAUGCACAUACACAGAAUGUAAAGUGUGACAGCCAAGCAGCAUAGACAAGUGUCAUCUGGGCGCUUGGAUCAGCUAAUGUUUGGAUUGGGCUCUGAAGGAUGAGAUGCUAAAUUUCAUCACCCACAUUCUAAAGUAUCAGGCUUGCAAAAUAAACACACGCACAUACACACACACAAAAAAGAAUAUUCUCAGUAAUGUUACGAGAUGUGGAUGUCCUGCAGAGAAAAGACAGGCCUUUCUGUAUUUUCCACUGAAUGCAUUUAUGACAUAUGUCUUUUCAGGCUCUGCCUACCUACCUCCUCAAUGUCAUGAUCCUUCUGUGUUAAGAUUUCACAAAACUGAUAUCUAGGAAACCUUUUGCUAUGCAAAGUUGCAAGAGUUGUGAAUGUAGUGAAUGUGAAUCAUCAACAAUAUUUAAAGAUGCAAACUGAGAGGAUGCAAACUGAGAGGAGACUGAUUUUAACUCCUGCCUGAUGAGACAUCACUUAC